rnacentral:rRNA from 1 species
CCUACGGGCGGCAGCAGUGAGGAAUAUUGGUCAAUGGACGGGAGUCUGAACCAGCCAAGCCGCGUGAGGGAAGACGGCUCUAUGGAUUGUAAACUGCUUUUGUCCGGGAGCAAAGCCGACGACGUGUCUUCAGCUGAACGUACCUUACGAAAAAGCAUCGGCUAACUCCGUGCCAGCAGCCGCGGUAAUACGGAGGAUCCGAGCGUUAUCCGGAUUUAUUGGGUUUAAAGGGUGCGUAGGCGGAUGGAUAAGUUAGCGGUGAAAUUUCCGGGCUUAACCCGGGAACUGCCUUUAAAACUGGCAGUCUUGAGAGGAGGAGAGGUAGGCGGAAUGCGUGGUGUAGCGGUGAAAUGCUUAGAGAUCACACAGAACUCCGAUUGCGAAGGCAGCUUACCAACCUACCACUGACGUUGAGGCACGAAAGCGUGGGUAGCAAACAGGAUUAGAUACCCGGGUAGUC